GGCCUCGUAGCUCAGUUGGCUAGAGCGUUGGUUGUUCUAAAGCCUUCACCUUGCUGGCGUGGGUUUGAAUCCCACCAAGGUCG
rnacentral:tRNA from 1 species